AGAAUCAACGCUGGCGGCGUGCCUAACACAUGCAAGUCGAACGAGAAAGUGGAGCAAUCCAUUAGUAAAGUGGCGCACGGGUGAGUAACACGUGACUAACCUACCCUUGAGUGGGGGAUAACCUAGGGAAAACCUGGGCUAAUACCGCAUAAUACCUUCGGGUCAAAGGAGCAAUUCGCUUAAGGAGGGGGUCGCGGCCGAUUAGUUAGUUGGCGGGGUAAUGGCCCACCAAGACGAUGAUCGGUAUCCGG
rnacentral:rRNA from 1 species